rnacentral:rRNA from 1 species
GACGAACGCUGACGGCGUGCUUAACACAUGCAAGUCGAAGGGAGUGGCGAACGGGUGAGUAACACGUGAGUAACCUGCCUUUUUCUUUUGGAUAAGCCUGGGAACCUGGGUCUAAUACUGGAUGGAUUGGGCUGGGCGCGCGGCUUAUUAGCUUGUUGGUGGGGUGAUGGGUUACCCAGGCUUUGACGGGUAGCCGGCCUGAGAGGGAGGGCGGUCACUCUGGGACGGAGAUACGGCCCAGACUCCUACGGGAGGCAGCAGUGGGGGAUAUGGCACAAUGGACGAAAGACGGAUGCAGCGACGUCGUGUGGGGAAUGAAGGCCUUCGAGUUGUAAACUCCUUUCGCCCGCGGAAUGGUAGUGGGUAAAGAAGCGCCGGCUAACUACGUGCCAGCAGCCGCGGUAAUUC